UUGGAGAACUCAAAACAUCUCAGGACGAGUGGGAUGCACGGAGAAUGUCAGGGAGUGUCAGAGGCGGAGGCGACAAACCUGUAAGGGACCGUGGUGGGCGGACCGUGGUGAGGAUCACGCUGACGCAACAAGGUGCUGAGUCCAUGGAAGAGGGGGAAAGACUUGGGAAGGAUCUACAUGCUCUGAGAAUGAGCAGCGUGUUUAACCAAUAAGUGAUUGGGACUGAACUCUAUACACCGUCAGUAUUCCCUGACUACAAGGGCUGCUUUGCCUCAGACCCGCCUUAAAUAUCAGACCUGCAGCUGGGAACAGAGGUUGGAAACGAGAGGGCUCGUAUGGGUUCGAAGGGACGUAAAAGGAAGGAGACGAAAGCGGCGGCACUCGGAAUCCUGACUUCUGCUGCAGAGACUAACGUAGCUCUUCGCGCACUGCUCGGAGGAGAGGAGUCCACAGCUUCAGCUGCAAAAAAAACAAGCGACAUUUGCCAAAACUGUUGAGCAGCACUGGUGAGACUAAAGUUGGGAUGGGCGGGGCUUGUGUGUUAAUGGUGGCCAGUGAUAAAAUUUAUUACAAUAACAGUCACUGGGCCCUUUCUGCGUGUCAAACACUAUGCUAAACAUUUUGCAAACAUGAGCUCAUUUUUUCCUUACAGGAAUCCCAUGAGGUAGGAAUUACUUUUCUCAUUUUACCGAUCAGAAAGCUGUGCUUAGCGAGCUUAAGUAGUUUCUCAGACUUCACCCUACAGUCCACCUGUGCAGGAGCCAAGAUUUAUAUGCAGGUCUGGUUGCCUCCAAGCCCCUGCUCUGUAAAAAGGCACUUUCAUUUAGUGGAAGGAGCACUUUUUAAGGAGUCGGUCUAGAUCUAACUUCUCACUCUGCCACUUGAUUCGCUGUGAAAUCUGGGGUAAGUGAUUUACUCUGUUUCUUGGCUUCUUUAUAUGCAAAAUGGGAUUAAUAAUUUUACUUACUGCAGAUAUUGUUGUGGAAACCAAAUGAAUUCCUGUACAUAAAAAGGGUUUUCGAUGUGAUCAAAUUCUAUGUCAAAGAAUUUCCAUUAUUUUUAUUUACCUAUCUCCAAGCCUCAGUUUUCAUUCCUCUUUAAAUUUGGGAUAAUAGUGGUCCUGCAUAGCGCACGUGGAUGUUGGAAGAAACAACCAAGAUGAUCUAUGAGGAAGUACUUUAUAAACUGCAAAGCAUUGAACAAAUGAGGCUCCAGUCUGUUUGCAGAGAGAGCAGUCUGAUCAGUCCAGGAUCAAGGUCCCAGUCCCACUUUGUCAGCUGGACUGCUGGUGGUGCUAGCCAUGGUGUAGCCGCUUGUUCUGGGAACAAAAGAAUGACUCCAGAGGAGGUAUAAGAACUGUGAGCUGAACUCAGGUCAAAGGAUCAGCCUGAAAAAGUCAUGAAAUGUGAACACAAAGGCAUGUUCAAGUAAAAGCAAGUAACCCAUAUUAGGUGAAGCCUUGAGAUCUGAUGCUAGAAGAGACUGAAAAGCAAGUUUAAACAGCAUACUUGUGGGUCUUAAAUACAGAGGGAAGAGCUUACUGAGUUCAAUAGGCAGUUCUUUCCAUGUAGAGGAUCACUGUUUAUUGACACCAGAGCAAAAGCCAAUAUUCUUUGAGGCAACUCUCCAGCAUCUGUCAGUAUCUAUAAAGGUUUUAUAAAGGACACUAGAUUAUAUGCUCUUGUUUUCACAACUGAUUCAGAAGUAGUUUAAACAUUUUUUUCAUUUUUCCAAGUAUAUCUGAUUUGAAAUUGGGCUCCAGAAAGCUGUUUAAUAGAUGCAGUAACAUUUUGGGGGUACACAAAGAGAAACAUAAAUAUUAAGAUACAUUUAGAAAUAUCUUAAGAACUUCCAGACUAUAUAUGUAGCUGUUCAGCCAAACAGCUCGUGU